rnacentral:lncRNA from 1 species
AAUAUCCAAAUUUUCAUUUGGAAAACCCUCAAAAUUAAAUUGGUCGGGAAUCAUAUCAUAGAUGUCGUUUGUAGGGAUAGAUGAUUCUCCAAUUUUUCCCUUGCCCUUACCCGAAUUUGAGUUUCCUCCACUUGCCAUUAUAUGAUAAUAAAAUAUAAUUUGGAAAAUUGAAUAAAAAAAAUUAGAGAGAAUAAUUACCUUAAUAAGAGAUAAAUGUUGAGUAGAGAAAAAUAAAUGAAUAAUAUAGAGUAGAGUGUAGUAUAUUGUAGAGAGAGUAAGUAGAGAG